rnacentral:rRNA from 1 species
CGCCUUGCCAGCCCGCUCAGAACUUAAAUGAAUUGACGGGGCCCGCACAAGCGGUGGAGUAUGUGGUUUAAUUCGAUGCAACGCGAAGAACCUUACCUGGUCUUGACAUCCCGGAGACCCUUAGGAAACUAGGGGGUGCUUCCAUCUGGAAGAAUCUGGAGACAGGUGCUGCAUGGCUGUCGUCAGCUCGUGUCGUGAGAUGUUGGGUUAAGUCCCGCAACGAGCGCAACCCUUGCCUUUAGUUGCCAGCAGUUCGGCUGGGCACUCUAAAGGGACUGCCGGUGUUAAACCGGAGGAAGGUGGGGAUGACGUCAAGCCCCAUGGCCUUUAUGACCAGGGCUACACACGUACUACAAUGGCCGAUACAAAGGGCAGCGACACUGCGAGGUGAAGCCAAUCCCGUAAAAUCGGUCUCAGUCCGGAUUGGAGUCUGCAACUCGACUCCAUGAAGUUGGAAUCGCUAGUAAUCGUGGAUCAGCAUGCCACGGUGAAUACGUUCCCGGGCCUU